rnacentral:rRNA from 1 species
AUGGAUUGUAGCCUCCGUAUCAUCUUCUGGAACACCCCUGGUCUCAACUGUCCUGCGAAACGCAGCGCUGCCCGCUCGGUCGUGUGUGUUGCUCGCCCCGCCAUGGUCUACCUGCAGGAAACGAAGCUUGCAGACGUCACCCCCUUCCUGGUCGCCGACUCUCUUGGGAGCGAGUUCUCUAGUUUCUUUCACCUCCCCGCGGACGGCACGCGUGGUGGCAUCAUCCUUGUUUGGCGCCCUUCCGAGAUCUCCCUGUCUAAU